GCGGCUGUGGCGAAGUGGUUAACGCACCGGAUUGUGGUUCCGGCACUCGUGAGUUCGAUUCUCAUCAGCCGCCCCA
rnacentral:tRNA from 2 species